rnacentral:rRNA from 1 species
GGGGAAUUUUGGACAAUGGGCGCAAGCCUGAUCCAGCAAUGCCGCGUGAGUGAAGAAGGCCUUCGGGUUGUAAAGCUCUUUUGUCAGGGAAGAAAAGGCUACGGAUAAUACCUGUGGCUCAUGACGGUACCUGAAGAAUAAGCACCGGCUAACUACGUGCCAGCAGCCGCGGUAAUACGUAGGGUGCAAGCGUUAAUCGGAAUUACUGGGCGUAAAGCGUGCGCAGGCGGUUUUGUAAGACUGUCGUGAAAUCCCCGGGCUCAACCUGGGAAUGGCGAUGGUGACUGCAAGGCUAGAGUUUGGCAGAGGGGGGUAGAAUUCCACGUGUAGCAGUGAAAUGCGUAGAUAUGUGGAGGAACACCGAUGGCGAAGGCAGCCCCCUGGGUCAAAACUGACGCUCAUGCACGAAAGCGUGGGGAGCAAAC